UACGUAGGGUCCGAGCGUUGUCCGGAUUUACUGGGCGUAAAGCGCGCGCAGGCGGCGGUGUUGGCCCGGCGUGAAAGCCCCCGGCUCAACCGGGGAGAGUCGUCGGGGACCGCACCGCUUGAGGGCGGUAGGGGCUGGUGGAAUGCCUGGUGUAGUGGUGAAAUGCGUAGAGAUCAGGCAGAACACCUGGGGCGAAGGCGGCCAGCUGGGCCGUCCCUGACGCUGAGGCGCGAAGGCGUGGGGAGCGAACGGG
rnacentral:rRNA from 1 species